CUGAGCAAGAAGAAAGAAUGUGAAGACUUGGAACAUGAAGUUAGGAAGAGACAGAAGGGAUGUCUGGAUUUGGAGAGCCAGCUUGAGGAUGAGCGAGGCAAAAAUGGGCAUCUAGAGGAGGAGGCAGAUCUCCUCAGGAGGAAGGCACAGCUGCUCGACCAGACCUGGGUUGAGAAUGAGGAGCUGAGAGAACACCUCUCUGAAGUGACCGCUCAACGUGAUUCAGGUCUCAAGGAGAACCAGAGACUCCGUGUCAAACUGGAUAACCUGGAGCAGGUCCUAAAG